GGACGAGUAGCUCAGCUUGGUUUAGAGCGUCUCUCUUACACAGAGAAGGUCAGAGGUUCAAGUCCUCUCUCGUCCA
rnacentral:tRNA from 1 species